GUAGGGAAUAUUGCGCAAUGGACGAAAGUCUGACGCAGCGACGCCGCGUGAGUGAUGAAGGCCUUAGGGUCGUAAAGCUCUGUUGAAUGGGAAGAAAAAAAUGACGGUACCAUUCGAGGAAGGACCGGCUAACUUCGUGCCAGCAGCCGCGGUAAUACGAGGGGUCCUAGCGUUGGUCGGAAUCAUUGGGCGUAAAGGGUGUGUAGGUGGCCAUGUAAGUCAGGUGUGAAAGCCCCGGGCUCAACCCGGGAAGUGCACUUGAUACUGCGUGGCUUGAGUACCGAAGAGGGUAGUGGAAUUCCAGGUGUAGUGGUGAAAUACGUAGAUAUCUGGAGGAACACCGGUGGCGAAGGCGGCUACCUGGUCGAGUACUGACCCUGAGACACGAAAGCAUGGGGAUCAAACAGGAUUAGAAACCCCAGUAGUCC
rnacentral:rRNA from 1 species